rnacentral:rRNA from 1 species
UUAAACUGAAGAGUUUGAUCCUGGCUCAGAUUGAACGCUGGCGGCAUGCCUUACACAUGCAAGUCGAACGGCAGCACGGAGCUUGCUCUGGUGGCGAGUGGCGAACGGGUG